UGGGGUGUAGCUCACUGGUAGAGUGCAAGGCUCUGGGUUCAAUUCCCAGUACCACAA
rnacentral:tRNA from 1 species